UACGUAGGGUGCAAGCGUUAAUCGGAAUUACUGGGCGUAAAGCGUGCGCAGCGGUUGUGCAAGACAGAUGUGAAAUCCCCGGGCUCAACCUGGGAAUUGCAUUUGUGACUGCACGGCUAGAGUGUGUCAGAGGGGGUAGAAUUCCACGUGUGAGCAGUGAAAUGCGUAGAGAUGUGGAGGAAUACCGAUGGCGAAGGCAGCCCCCUGGGAUAACACUGACGCUCAUGCACGAAAGCGUGGGAGCAAACAGG
rnacentral:rRNA from 1 species